rnacentral:rRNA from 1 species
GUGAACGCUGGCGGUAGGCCUAACACAUGCAAGUCGAACGGCAGCACAGUAAGAGCUUGCUCUUACGGGUGGCGAGUGGCGGACGGGUGAGGAAUACAUCGGAAUCUACUUUUUCGUGGGGGAUAACGUAGGGAAACUUACGCUAAUACCGCAUACGACCUACGGGUGAAAGCAGGGGAUCUUCGGACCUUGCGCGAUUGAAUGAGCCGAUGUCGGAUUAGCUAGUUGGCGGGGUAAAGGCCCACCAAGGCGACGAUCCGUAGCUGGUCUGAGAGGAUGAUCAGCCACACUGGAACUGAGACACGGUCCAGACUCCUACGGGAGGCAGCAGUGGGGAAUAUUGGACAAAGGGCGCAAGCCUGAUCCAGCCAUACCGCGUGGGGGAAGAAGGCCUUCGGGUUGUAAAGCCCUUUUGUUGGGAAAGAAAAGCAGCAGGUUAAUACCCCGCUGUUCUGACGGUACCCAAAGAAUAAGCACCGGCUAACUUCGUG